ACAGCUGCCCCUGCCCCCACAGCUGCCCCUGCCCGUGGUCCUGCACCUGUGUCUGCUCCUGGCCCUCUCCUUGUCCUUGCCCCUGUCCCUGCCCCUGCCUCUGCCUCUUCCGUGCUGGUGGAGGGCCGAUCACCUCCUUGCAGGCACGGCACUGGCAAACUACACGUGUAUGUGUGUCUGUUUGUAUAAAUAUGCGGACGAUCAGUCCUAAGAGCUUCUGGGUGCUAUAUGGUUGUCGUGCUUUAUAGCUUGGAUCUCGUCUGGGAAUGGAAGUUAGCUGAAAGUGAGGCCAUACCUUUGCAGUGGCUAAGAAACACGACAUUUUCCUCAGUUUUUGCAUUUUGGAUCAACAUAAAGAGACAGAAUUAAUGCCCUCCUCCUGUUUUCCUUCUCUUGUCUCAUGAGAUUUGCUUUGAAAAGAUAUGUGAUGCAAAUGAAGAUCCAUAUAAAUGAUAGAGUGG